rnacentral:rRNA from 1 species
GGGGGGGGGGGGGGGGGGGGGGGGGGGGGGGGGGGCGGGCGGGGGCGGGGGGUUCGGGGUGGCGGGGAGUGGCGGGCGGGUGGGGAAUGCAUCGGAACGUGCCCGGUGGUGUGGGAGGGCCCGGCGACCGCCGGGUUAAUACCGCAUACGGCCUGGGGGUGAGAGCGAGGGACCCACCGGCCUCGCGCUCUUUGCGCCGCCCAUGUCUGAUUAGCUAGGUGGUGUGGUAAAGGCUUACCAAGUCGACGAUCCGUAGCUGGUCUGAGAGGACGACCAGGCACACUGGGAAGGAGACACGGCCCAGACUACUACGGGAGGCAGCAGUGGGGAAUUUUGGACAAUGGGGGCAACCCUGAUCCAGCCAUGCCGCGUGCGAGAAGAAGGCCUUCGGGUUGUAAACCGCUUUUGUUCGGGAAGAAAUCCUCUGGGCUAAUACCCCGGGGGGAUGACGGUACCGGAAGAAUAAGCACCGGCUAACUACGUG